UACGUAGGGUGCAAGCGUUGUCCGGAAUUAUUGGGCGUAAAGAGCUCGUAGGCGGUUUGUCGCGUCUGCUGUGAAAACGCGAGGCUCAACCUCGCGCCUGCAGUGGGUACGGGCAGACUAGAGUGCGGUAGGGGAGAUUGGAAUUCCUGGUGUAGCGGUGGAAUGCGCAGAUAUCAGGAGGAACACCGAUGGCGAAGGCAGAUCUCUGGGCCGUUACUGACGCUGAGGAGCGAAAGCGUGGGGAGCGAACAGG
rnacentral:rRNA from 1 species